GACGAACGCUGGCGGCGUGCUUAACACAUGCAAGUCGAACGAUGAAGCCUAGCUUGCUAGGUGGAUUAGUGGCGAACGGGUGAGUAAUACGUGAGUGACCUACCUUUGACUCUGGGAUAAGCCUGGGAAACUGGGUCUAAUACCGGAUACGACCAAUCUCCGCAUGGGGUGUUGGUGGAAAGCGUUAUGGAGUGGUUUUAGAUGGGCUCACGGCCUAUCAGCUUGUUGGUGAGGUAAUGGCUUACCAAGGCGACGACGGGUAGCCGGCCUGAGAGGGUGACCGGCCACACUGGGACUGAGACACGGCCCAGACUCCUACGGGAGGCAGCAGUGGGGAAUAUUGCACAAUGGGCGCAAGCCCGAUGCAGCGACGCCGCGUGAGGGAUGACGGCCUUCGGGUUGUAACCUCUGUUAGCAUCGAAGAAGCGAAAGUGACGGUAGGUGCAGAGAAAGCGCCGGCUAACUACGUGCCAGCAGCCGCGGUAAUACGUAGGGCGCGAGCGUUGUCCGGAAUUAUUGGGCGUAAAGAGCUUGUAGGCGGUUGGUCGCGUCUGCUGUGAAAGGCUGGGGCUUAACCCUGGUUUUGCAGUGGGUACGGGCUAACUAGAGUGCAGUAGGGGAGACUGGAAUUCCUGGU
rnacentral:rRNA from 1 species